rnacentral:rRNA from 1 species
UACGUAGGGUGCGAGCGUUAAUCGGAAUUACUGGGCGUAAAGCGUGCGUAGGCGGUUGGUUAAGUCUGAUGUGAAAGCCCCGGGCUCAACUUGGGAAUGGCAUUGGAAACUGGCUGGCUAGAGUGUGGCAGAGGGGGGUGGAAUUCCGCGUGUAGCAGUGAAAUGCGUAGAUAUCGGGAGGAACAUCUGUGGCGAAGGCGACACCCUGGACCAGCACUGACACUGAGGCACGAAAGCGUGGGGAGCAAACAGG